GGGGUUGACCGGUUUUGACAGCGUGUAGAGGUGGUGUGUAAGCAUGCAGAGCAAUGAUGGCUACGCUCUUUAAUCUGGGACAUCACAAUUUCAAAUGGCGAAAAACAGUACGCUCUUGCUGCGUAAUCGAAGUACAGUAGAUGACGCUUAAUCUCCGCGACAGUCGCAGAGACAAGACAUCGCCCGAUUGUCCUCUUCCCGAGACUAAUCGACAAGGCGGUGCAGCUAAAUCGGGAAUAGGGUUCCGAAAGCCUCGCGAAGAGCCCGAAACAACAGAGGAUAAGGUCGCGGUUGGCAGUCCUCAGCCUGCCACGGCUCGAAAACCAAGAGAGGAAUAAGCAUGUAGAAAGCUCAUUAGUUCCACGUUUGGACGAGGGUUCGAGUCCCUCCAGCUCCACUA
rfam:Bacteroidales bacterium 52_46 Ley3_66761_scaffold_309, whole genome shotgun sequence.